rnacentral:rRNA from 1 species
UACGGAGGGUGCGAGCGUUAAUCGGAAUUACUGGGCGUAAAGCGCGCGUAGGUGGUUCAGCAAGUUGGAUGUGAAAGCCCUGGGCUCAACCUGGGAACUGCAUCCAAAACUACUGAGCUAGAGUACGGUAGAGGGUAGUGGAAUUUCCUGUGUAGCGGUGAAAUUCGUAGAUAUCGGGAGGAAUACCGGUGGCGAAGGCGACUUUCUGGACGAAUACUGACGCUGAGGCGCGAAAGCGUGGGGAGCAAACAGGAUUAGAUACCCUAGUAGU